ACCCGCCUGGCCAGCUCCAGCUCGCUGCUUCCCUCCUCCCCGCUCGCCAGCUACCCGCAGCGCAUCCAGCCUCUGACCCUGCUGUCUUGUCAUCUGGGUGCACCUCGCUUUAUCCCCCCACUGCGGACAGACAACCCCUACUCAUCCUUCUAAACCCCAUUGAGUCCCACCUUCUGAGGAAGCUAGGCGCUGGCCAUGACUCACCCCUCCAGGCUGGGUCAGGUGUCCCCGCUCCUUGUACACAGCGCCUCUGAGCCUGGAUCCGAGCUACACCGGGGCAGGGACUGGGUCUCCACUCAUAUUUACAGGCCAGAGCAUGGCUGGCUCGGGGUAAUUCUUACACACGCCACUCUCCCAAUCAAAGUGAAUGGGCGAAUGAAUGGAUGAGCAGAUAAUCACAACCAACCUCACAAGCCCAGCACAUGCUUGUGUACAAAUCAGUGAAUGAAUGUAUUCCUGUCUCAUCCUGGGAACUUCUAUUCAUACAUCAGUACCCCACUCACAAGUCCCCUCCUCUAAGACGCUCUCUGACUUUUCCAGGAACAGCUCCCCUUCAACCUCUUUUCCUCUCUCUGACACCCUAUUUAUCCCUUGAACAGCCCAGGUCCAACUCUGUCUGUUCUCAGUGUCACCCAGCACAGAGGCCAGGACCACCUGCCUGGGCCGCUGCUGGUCAGAGCCAGACAAGAGGAAGGAGGGGCCAAAACCCAGCAAAGGGACCAUGCAAGACCCGGCUCUGACAUCAGAGGGUGCCUUCUGCCCUGAAGACAACCUCGGUCGCUCUUGGUGUUCAUCUCCACUCCAGCCCCGGCCUCCUGAGCUCAAGGUAGGAGUCCGACUGGGGGGGGCGGGCAGCGCUCCGCAAACCCCGUAUCAGGCCAACAGGAGACCCAGCGUGGGGGCCCCAGCACCGCCUACCACGGGCCCCACCCCAGCGCGAGGACCCUGGCGAGGGGCCACAGGGGCAGAGCGGGAACGAGAACCCCCACUGCGAGCGCCCUGGGUCCCGAGAGCGCACAGGAUUGCUCAGUGCACCGUACCUACACCCGCGCGGGGAGGGCUCAGAGGGCUGGGAAGCGAUGGGUGAGAUCUCCUGACAGCUAUUUCCCGACAUUUGAUGACAGACUGUCUCCACGGCUGCGAACAUCUCAAACUAGGCCAGGCUGGGGCGCCGCCUCCCUCCCCGUGCGGAGAGGAACAGAGGUAGUGAUUAAGAGCGUAAUUACCUCCCUCAGCCGAGGAGGGAGCCGCCUCCUGCCGAUCGGCGCGCCUGGGGCUCUGCCCCGCUGGGCUGGGGCCCGACCGGGAGAUGGGCGUGGGCUCCGGAGGGCGGUGAAGGGCGGUCCGCCGCAGAACGCCAGCCCCGCCCCCAAAGUUACCCCUCCUCUAACCCCGCCCUAAUAGUUGGCUCCGCCCCAUGGCUUCAGCCCCUCCCCUAAAUGUUAACUCCUCCCUCAAAUGUAAUCUUUGCUUCUCCAGAAAUGUUAGCCUCUUCCCUGAAUUGCUGACUCUUCCCUUAAAUGUCAGCUCCGGGCCUGGAACUAUUAGCUCUGCCCCUGGAACACUUGCCCCUCGGCCAAAAGGUAACUGCUCCCCUAAAUACUGUUAUCCUCUCCCCUCAUAUAUCAGCCCCUCCCCUCUUACAUUAGCUCCACCCCCGGGAAGUGAGCCCCUCCCCUGAGAUGUUAGCCUCGCCCCUGGGAGGUCAGCCCCGCCCCUGAGAUGACUGCAUUGCCCCUGGAGGUUAACCCCGCCCGAGAGGUCAGCCACGCCCUGGGAAGUCAGCCCUUCCCCAGGAGUUAGCCCUGUGCGGCACCUUGUCGCCCCUUCCCGCGCCCCAACUCCGUCCUCCGGGAUCUUUGUCUCCAGGCUCACCGUCCCCCCGGUACCCUGCGCGGCACCCUUACCCGACCGGCGCUGUGAGCAGGUGCACGCCUGCACCCGGCGCAGGCUGGAGGGGCCGGGCCUGGCCGGAGUCCCC
rnacentral:lncRNA from 1 species